rnacentral:rRNA from 1 species
CUAGCUGUAAACGGUGGAUAUUAGGUGUGGGGGGUAUCGACCCCCUCCGUGCCGCAGUUAACACAUUAAAUAUCCCGCCUGGGAAGUACGGCCGCAAGGUUGAAACUCAAAGGAAUUGACGGGGGCCCGCACAAGCGGUGGAGCAUGUGGUUCAAUUCGACGCAACGCGAAGAACCUUACCCAGGCUCGAAAUGUAGUGGACAGGUGUGGAAACACACCCUCUUCCUUCGGGAAGUCGCUAUAUAGGUGC